UAGGCGUUAAUCUAAAUAAGAUAGUUGAUUUCGACUCAACAAAUCUGGCCAAACACACCAGACGCCUAC
rnacentral:tRNA from 1 species